UUAAGCGACUAAGCGUACACGGUGGAUGCCCUGGCAGUCAGAGGCGAUGAAGGACGUGCUAAUCUGCGAAAAGCGUCGGUAAGGUGAUAUGAACCGUUAUAACCGGCGAUGUCCGAAUGGGGAAACCCAGUGCAAUUCGUUGCACUAUCGUUAACUGAAUACAUAGGUUAACGAGGCGAACCGGGGGAACUGAAACAUCUAAGUACCCCGAGGAAAAGAAAUCAACCGAGAUUCCCCCAGUAGCGGCGAGCGAACGGGGAGCAGCCCAGAGUCUGAAUCAGCUUGUGUGUUAGUGGAACGGUCUGGAAAGUCCGACGGUACAGGGUGAUAGUCCCGUACACCAAAAUGCACAGGCUGUGAACUCGAAGAGUAGGGCGGGACACGUGGUAUCCUGUCUGAAUAUGGGGGGACCAUCCUCCAAGGCUAAAUACUCCUGACUGACCGAUAGUGAACCAGUACCGUGAGGGAAAGGCGAAAAGAACCCCGGCGAGGGGAGUGAAAAAGAACCUGAAACCGUGUACGUACAAGCAGUGGGAGCACCUUCGGGUGUGACUGCGUACCUUUUGUAUAAUGGGUCAGCGACUUAUAUUCUGUAGCAAGGUUAACCGUAUAGGGGAGCCGCAGGGAAACCGAGUCUUAACUGGGCGUUAAGUUGCAGGGUAUAGACCCGAAACCCGGUGAUCUAGCCAUGGGCAGGUUGAAGGUUGGGUAACACUAACUGGAGGACCGAACCGACUAAUGUUGAAAAAUUAGCGGAUGACUUGUGGCUGGGGGUGAAAGGCCAAUCAAACCGGGAGAUAGCUGGUUCUCCCCGAAAGCUAUUUAGGUAGCGCCUCGUGAACUCAUCUUCGGGGGUAGAGCACUGUUUCGGCUAGGGGGUCAUCCCGACUUACCAACCCGAUGCAAACUACGAAUACCGAAGAAUGUUAUCACGGGAGACACACGGCGGGUGCUAACGUCCGUCGUGAAGAGGGAAACAACCCAGACCGCCAGCUAAGGUCCCAAAGUCAUGGUUAAGUGGGAAACGAUGUGGGAAGGCACAGACAGCCAGGAUGUUGGCUUAGAAGCAGCCAUCAUUUAAAGAAAGCGUAAUAGCUCACUGGUCGAGUCGGCCUGCGCGGAAGAUGUAACGGGGCUAAACCAUGCACCGAAGCUGCGGCAGCGACACUAUGUGUUGUUGGGUAGGGGAGCGUUCUGUAAGCCUGCGAAGGUGACCUGUGAGGGUUGCUGGAGGUAUCAGAAGUGCGAAUGCUGACAUAAGUAACGAUAAAGCGGGUGAAAAGCCCGCUCGCCGGAAGACCAAGGGUUCCUGUCCAACGUUAAUCGGGGCAGGGUGAGUCGACCCCUAAGGCGAGGCCGAAAGGCGUAGUCGAUGGGAAACAGGUUAAUAUUCCUGUACUUGGUGUUACUGCGAAGGGGGGACGGAGAAGGCUAUGUUAGCCGGGCGACGGUUGUCCCGGUUUAAGCAUGUAGGCUGGUUGUCCAGGCAAAUCCGGAUAAUCAAGGCUGAGGUGUGAUGACGAGGCACUACGGUGCUGAAGUAACAAAUGCCCUGCUUCCAGGAAAAGCCUCUAAGCAUCAGGUAACAUUAAAUCGUACCCCAAACCGACACAGGUGGUCAGGUAGAGAAUACCAAGGCGCUUGAGAGAACUCGGGUGAAGGAACUAGGCAAAAUGGUGCCGUAACUUCGGGAGAAGGCACGCUGGUGUGUAGGUGAAGUCCCUGCGGAUGGAGCUGAGACCAGUCGAAGAUACCAGCUGGCUGCAACUGUUUAUUAAAAACACAGCACUGUGCAAACACGAAAGUGGACGUAUACGGUGUGACGCCUGCCCGGUGCCGGAAGGUUAAUUGAUGGGGUUAUCCGUAAGGAGAAGCUCUUGAUCGAAGCCCCGGUAAACGGCGGCCGUAACUAUAACGGUCCUAAGGUAGCGAAAUUCCUUGUCGGGUAAGUUCCGACCUGCACGAAUGGCGUAAUGAUGGCCAGGCUGUCUCCACCCGAGACUCAGUGAAAUUGAACUCGCUGUGAAGAUGCAGUGUACCCGCGGCAAGACGGAAAGACCCCGUGAACCUUUACUAUAGCUUGACACUGAACAUUGAGCCUUGAUGUGUAGGAUAGGUGGGAGGCUUUGAAGCGUGGACGCCAGUCUGCGUGGAGCCAACCUUGAAAUACCACCCUUUAAUGUUUGAUGUUCUAACGUUGGCCCCUUAUCGGGGUUGCGGACAGUGUCUGGUGGGUAGUUUGACUGGGGCGGUCUCCUCCCAAAGCGUAACGGAGGAGCACGAAGGUUAGCUAAUCCUGGUCGGACAUCAGGAGGUUAGUGCAAUGGCAUAAGCUAGCUUGACUGCGAGCGUGACGGCGCGAGCAGGUGCGAAAGCAGGUCAUAGUGAUCCGGUGGUUCUGAAUGGAAGGGCCAUCGCUCAACGGAUAAAAGGUACUCCGGGGAUAACAGGCUGAUACCGCCCAAGAGUUCAUAUCGACGGCGGUGUUUGGCACCUCGAUGUCGGCUCAUCACAUCCUGGGGCUGAAGUAGGUCCCAAGGGUAUGGCUGUUCGCCAUUUAAAGUGGUACGCGAGCUGGGUUUAGAACGUCGUGAGACAGUUCGGUCCCUAUCUGCCGUGGGCGCUGGAGAAUUGAGGGGGGCUGCUCCUAGUACGAGAGGACCGGAGUGGACGCAUCACUGGUGUUCGGGUUGUCAUGCCAAUGGCACUGCCCGGUAGCUAAAUGCGGAAGAGAUAAGUGCUGAAAGCAUCUAAGCACGAAACUUGCCCCGAGAUGAGUUCUCCCUGAGACUUUAAGUCUCCUGAAGGAACGUUGAAGACGACGACGUUGAUAGGCCGGGUGUGUAAGCGCAGCGAUGCGUUGAGCUAACCGGUACUAAUGAACCGUGAGGCUUAACCUU
rnacentral:rRNA from 1 species